CCCUCACCCUGCGAACCCAACGAAUUCAAGUGCCGCAACGGGCACUGCGCCCUCAAGCUUUGGCGUUGCGACGGCGAGAACGACUGCGGGGACGGCUCCGACGAGACCGAUUGCCCCACCAAGGCACCCGGCGCGGCGUGCGGGCCGGCAGAGUUUCGGUGCGUGGCGAGCGGGAGCUGCAUCCAUGCCAGCUACCAAUGCGACCGGGAGCCCGACUGUCCCGACCGCUCCGAUGAGGUCGGCUGCGUGCCCCCGCAGGUGGUGACGCUCCCCCGGGAGUCGGUGCGGGCGGUGCCGGGGCAGACGGUCACCUUCACCUGCGUGGCCACCGGCGUCCCCACCCCCAUCAUCACCUGGCGCCUCAACUGGGGCCACACCCCCAGC